CGAACGCUGGCGGCGUGCUUAACACAUGCAAGUCGAACGGAAAGGCCCCUUUGGGGGUCCUCGAGUGGCGAACGGGUGAGUAACACGUGAGUAACCUGCCCUUGACUUCGGGAUAACUUCAGGAAACUGGGGCUAAUACCGGAUAGGAAUCCUUGCUGCAUGGUGGGGGUUGGAAAGCUUCGGCGGUUUUGGAUGGACUCGCGGCUUAUCAGCUUGUUGGUGGGGUAGUGGCUUACCAAGGCUUUGACGGGUAGCCGGCCUGAGAGGGCGACCGGCCACAUUGGGACUGAGAUACGGCCCAGACUCCGACGGGAGGCAGCAGUGGGGAAUAUUGCACAAUGGGCGGAGGCCUGAUGCAGCAACGCCGCGGGCGGGAUGACGGCCUUCGGGUUGUAAACCGAUUUCAGCAGGGGCGAAGCUUGUGGUGACGGUACCUGCAGAAGAAGCACCGGCUAACUACGUG
rnacentral:rRNA from 1 species